rnacentral:rRNA from 1 species
UGGGGAAUAUUGGACAAUGGGGGCAACCCUGAUCCAGCAAUGCCGCGUGUGUGAAGAAGGCCUUAGGGUUGUAAAGCACUUUCACCUGGGAAGAUGAUGACGGUACCGGGAGAAGAAGCCCCGGCUAACUCCGUGCCAGCAGCCGCGGUAAUACGGAGGGGGCUAGCGUUGUUCGGAAUUACUGGGCGUAAAGGGCGUGUAGGCGGCGGUUCAAGUUGGGCGUGAAAGCCCGGGGCUCAACCUCGGAGGUGCGCUCAAUACUGGAUUGCUUGAGGACGGGAGAGGGUAGUGGAAUUCCCAGUGUAGAGGUGAAAUUCGUAGAUAUUGGGAAGAACACCGGUGGCGAAGGCGGCUACCUGGCCCGUGACUGACGCUGAGGCGCGAAAGCGUGGGGAGCAAACAGGAUUAGAUACCCCCGUAGUCC